AGUGAACGCUGGCGGUAGGCCUAACACAUGCAAGUCGAACGGCAGCACAGUAAGAGCUUGCUCUUACGGGUGGCGAGUGGCGGACGGGUGAGGAAUACAUCGGAAUCUACUUUUUCGUGGGGGAUAACGUAGGGAAACUUACGCUAAUACAGCAUACGACCUACGGGUGAAAGCAGGGGAUCUUCGGACCUUGCGCGAUUGAAUGAGCCGAUGUCGGAUUAGCUAGUUGGCGGGGUAAAGGCCCACCAAGGCGACGAUCCGUAGCUGGUCUGAGAGGAUGAUCAGCCACACUGGAACUGAGACACGGUCCAGACUCCUACGGGAGGCAGCAGUGGGGAAUAUUGGGCAAUGGGCGCAAGCCUGACCCAGCCAUACCGCGUGGGUGAAGAAGGCCUUCGGGUUGUAAAGCCCUUUUGUUGGGAAAGAAAAGCAGCAGGUUAAUACCCCGCUGUUCUGACGGUACCCAAAGAAUAAGCACCGGCUAACUUCGUG
rnacentral:rRNA from 1 species